rnacentral:misc_RNA from 1 species
CACAACCAACGCUGUACUUUCUCCGUUCUAUACGGGAAGCCAAAAUACAGAGAGUAUGGUGAGACAGAGCGGGGUGAGAAGAGAUGGGGGAUAUAAGGGGGUGAGGAUGAGGAAAUGGGGUAAAUGGGUAGCGGAGAUACGACAACCCAAUAGCAGAGGGAGGAUAUGGCUGGGCUCCUACAAUACUGCAGAGGAAGCUGCUAGAGCCUACGACGCUGCUCUUUUUUGCCUACGUGGACCUUCUGUGACUCUCAAUUUCCCAAUGAAUCCGCCGGAUAUUCCUUCGUCCACAGACCUUUCUCCGUUGCAGAUUCGGGAGGCUGCGUUUAGGCACUCGCGGAAGGUUUCUGAGACAAUGGCAUCACAGGAUUUGAGUUCUCGUGUGCCGGCGUCUGGGUUGUUCGAGGAGUCCACAGAACUGCGUGAAAAGGUUUAUUUGCCUGCUACAGAGCAUGGAAUAGAAAGUGUGGACAGGAUUGCAUGUGGCGCACAUUAAUAGAUUUUUUUUUUUACCCCGCUUUAUCUUCUUUAAUCCACCGACUUGCAAGGUUCGUUCUUCGUAGAGUUCAUACGGAGUAACACAGUGCCGGAAGGUAAGAAUUUUGUACGGUUGUGCUUAGUAGAGAAUAGAGAUCGUAUUGUUAAAGGAAAAUUAUAAAGAAAUCUUCUACCUUGUACAGGGUCCUACAGAUAUAAAAUUCAUGUUCGCCCUGUUUUACUUUAUGUGCGACACAGCAAUUCUUUAGUUUAGGAUUUAAAAUUUACAUCCUUUAACAAGUUAAUAAUAAUGAGCAUUAUCAUACGCCCGUUGAAUGCCAUCACGCCACCCUUAGCGUGGUGGCGACGCCUUUCACCACGAUUUCAAGAAGCAUGGGAAGACGGGGGUUUUCACUAUCAAUUGGGUGUCUUGCUAUGACGUAAAAAAGACUUCUUGGGGUUGAACCCAUCUUUAUUUGCAGCCUCGCUGUCACUAUAUCCCAUGCAAGCAGCUUGCACCGCCAAUCUGUUGGUAUUGCCACAGCUGUUCACGCCAAAUGUUGCUUGUGUCACAUUCAGGAAACAACUAACUUUCCCGACGCAUGCCUGCAAUUUCAGAACGUGAAAAAAAACAAAAAUGAAUGAAUCAAUUGUAAUUAUAUCAGUGCCUUUAUGAAAUGUUGAUAUUUGCAUUCUUACCU